rnacentral:rRNA from 1 species
UUCCUCUCAAAAAAGGGAGGUAAGGCCUGCUCACUGAGUUUUGAAGAGCCGCAGUAUCCUGACUGUGCUAAGGUAGCAUAAUCAUUAGUCUUUUAAUUGGAGACUGGUAUGAAUGGCUAAACGAGAAAUCGACUUUUUUUGUUAUAAAAAUUGAAUUUAAUUUUUUAGUGAAAAAGCUAAAAUUUUUCAGAAAGACGAGAAGACCCUAUAGAGUUUUAUAUUUCUGUGAAUUUUUUUUUAAUGGAUUUUUUUGAAAAAAAUUUUUUGGAAAUAUUUUGUUGGGGCGACAUUUAGAUAAGUGAAACUCUUUAUUUUAAAAACUUUAUUGUAAGAAUAAAUUUGAUCCUUUAUAAGAGAUCAUAAGAAAAAAUUACCUUAGGGAUAACAGCGUAAUCUUUUUUGAGAGUUCUAAUCGACAAAAAGGUUUGCGACCUCGAUGUUGGACUAAAAUUUAGGCAGGGUGCAGUAGUUCUGUUUUUGGGUCUGUUCGACCCGUAAUAUUUUACACGAUCUGAGUUCAGACCGGCGUAAG